UCGUCACGAGGUGAUUCUUCCAACGGUGCCUUGCCAAUGAAGACAUAGCCUGUGAUGUGGAUGAAAUCUUAUGGCCUGAUCCAGCCAGACGGAGAGAUGAUGAAUAGUUACAGUAUUCUUGUUGCUUUUACAGUAGUUUUUCUUCAGAGUCAAAGUGUAUGUACUUCAUGCAGUAAUUUUUAUUUGUCUACAGAUUUUAUUUGUUUCAUUGUUGGUUGAUUACUGUAACUGAUUAUGGUAAGAAAUACUGUAAGUAUUGAAAUAAAUACUUGAAAUAUUCAGUCUGCAGCAUCAGUGUUGUGCAGUGCUUGGUAAUUUUAUAGUAGGCCAAUUUGUGUACAUUCUCCCUAUAUCUCAAACUAAUCAUGAAGAACGUUGUGGGUUUGUCACCUUUUUUUUUUAGAGCGGAAGAG